UACGUAGGGGGCAAGCGUUGUCCGGAAUCAUUGGGCGUAAAGCGCGCGUAGGCGGCCCGGUAAGUCCGUUGUGAAAGUCAAAGGCUCAACCUUUGAACGCCGAUGGAUACUGCCGGGCUAGAGUCCGGAAGAGGCGAGUGGAAUUCCUGGUGUAGCGGUGAAAUGCGCAGAUAUCAGGAAGAACACCCGUGGCGAAGGCGGCUCUCUGGGACGGUACUGACGCUGAGACGCGAAAGCGUGGGGAGCGAACAGG
rnacentral:rRNA from 1 species